AAUGCCCAUGCAUAAAUUAAACUAUGUUGUGUACGCACUGAGUAUAGUGUAGUGUGCUUUUUGGAAGCCAAAGUACAUUUAGUUAACCCAUGAAAUAGCACGCAAAGCAUCGUUCUUUUAAAAUUAACGCCAUGCUAUAAACAUAGUUGGCAGUUGCCGGACUGUUCAUGCCAUGUCUCCGUGUCAAUUACCUUAUUGUCAAAUCAUAUUCAAACAAAAAGUCUACAACCUAAACCCUGUUUAAAUUAUAGCAAAGUGAAACUGACGGACAAUAAUUUAUUCGAUUUUAAUGCUUGAAAUGAACGCUUUCAGACGUGUAAAUACAAUGUUGAUUUUACUGCUAAGUGCCACAUGAAAUAAGAAAAGACAAAAGAAAAUAAGGCGAAG